AUUGGACGCUGGCGGCAGGCCUAACACAUGCAAGUCGAGCGGAUGAAGGGAGCUUGCUCCUGGAUUCAGCGGCGGACGGGUGAGUAAUGCCUAGGAAUCUGCCCGGUAGUGGGGGAUAACGUCCGGAAACGGGCGCUAAUACCGCAUACGUCCUGAGGGAGAAAGUGGGGGAUCUUCGGACCUCACGCUAUCAGAUGAGCCUAGGUCGGAUUAGCUAGUUGGUGGGGUAAAGGCCUACCAAGGCGACGAUCCGUAACUGGUCUGAGAGGAUGAUCAGUCACACUGGAACUGAGACACGGUCCAGACUCCUACGGGAGGCAGCAGUGGGGAAUAUUGGACAAUGGGCGAAAGCCUGAUCCAGCCAUGCCGCGUGUGUGAAGAAGGUCUUCGGAUUGUAAAGCACUUUAAGUUGGGAGGAAGGGCAGUAAGUUAAUACCUUGCUGUUUUGACGUUACCAACAGAAUAAGCACCGGCUAACUUCGUG
rnacentral:rRNA from 1 species